GUUCGAAAUCGGCGGUGGCAACAUGGCCAUUGAAAGAGCAAAGACUAUAAAUCAAGACUUCUCUCCCCCGCCCCUGAAGUUGGUCUAGCAGCUCUCCAAAGAGUGGUCUUACAAAGGAGAUCUCAGCUGGAUGUGAUGGCGCACGCCUGUUACCCCAGCACUCUGGGAGGCUGAUCCCUGGGAUCACAAAUUCGAGCCCACCCUGGGCAAUUUAGUGACUUGGCGAGACCUGGUCUCAAAGUAAAAAUUUAAAAGAGGCUGAUAACGGGGAGGGGGGAACUGCUGCAGAGGAUGUAACUUCCUUGGGAAGUGAACCCCUGUUCGGAGCUCGGCGUUGCGGGGCGGUUUCUUACCAGAGCCCAGGGCAGCGGGACCCCAGCUAGGACUGGGCACGGGUUUCUCCUCCCAGCCGGGGCGGGGCCGCGGACGCCCGAGCCAGGUCUUGGAAGGUGAAUGACGCAUACGCGAGGACAGCAGCCCCUUCCCAGCCUCUCCAAGCUCCGGGGACCCCCCGAGACUCGAGAAUUGGGUGCUGUGUCUUUAAAGGGAGUGGGGGCUUCCGGUGGGGUCUACGCGCCCUCAGGGCGCCGGGAGAGGACUGGCUGAGGGGACCGAGGGGGAGACGGAGCGGAGAUCGUGGAGGACACAGGGGCGCAGGGCUCGGGUAGAGGGGUCCAAAGCCUGCCUACCGCGGCUCCACUCCCUACCCCAGCCUCUGAGGCCACGCCCCCCGCCGUCCCCGCCGGGUCCCGCCCUCCCCGCGGUGCUGAACAAAGGGACUCGGUCCUCGGGGCGCCCUGGGCGGUUCUCUGUGAACACUGACUGCCGGCCGAGGACCUGAAGCUUCGCCAAGCCAAGGGUUUUUAGCCCUAGGAAAGGAAGGAAGAAGGACUCGCCCCAGCUGAACUUGUGAUCAGCAGCUACUACAAGGACACCGUGUUUCAGAGCCGCUGCUGUAGAAAUAGCUUAUCCUUCCCAGUUGUGUUUAACCAGAGAGCAUCUGGACCUUUAGCAUCUCCUUGUUGCUGAUUCAGAAGCUGGCAUCAGGCACAGGCACUGGAGAGGUCACUGAGACACUGCGAAAGCGAUGCCCAGUGAAGAGCCUGCACUGACCAUGGAAGAGAACAGCGGGCUGGACGAAGCUGCGGUGCAGGGCGGCCCAUGCCCGGGCCGCCUGGGGGCGCCCCCCACGCCGAGGCCUGGGGGUGCUUUCACCUGGCACCUGCGCGCCCCCGGGCACCGUCUGGCCGCUGGGCCACUUGCCGGCUGUGCGGGGGAGCAGGUGGGCCGCGGCCCGGGCUUCCAGGCGGGCACCUCGGCUCUGUGGCGACACCUGAAGGCGCGCACCGGCGGGAGCUGGGGAACAGCGGUGCGCCCGGCCCUGUGGCAGCCGCGGGCGCGAGUGGGCGCGGCUGCGGGAGCAGAUGGGCGCGCUGGCCGAGCAGGGCCGGCGGCGUGAGCGCGAGCUGGCGCGGAGGGAGGAGGCGGCCGUGGCCAGGGCGAGCGCGCCCUGGAGCGCGGGCGGAGCGCGCUGCGGGCCCUGGAGCGCCGGCUGCAGGCGGAACGCGAGGCCCUGCAGACGAGGCUGCGAGAGCUGGGCUGGCCCUCCGCGCCGCCCCCGGCCUCCGUACCGAAAAGAGGACCCCGAGGACCGGGUCGGGGACAGCUGCGUUGCCGCCAAGGUCCUGCUAUAGAGGUUGGCUGAUUCCACCCGUGGGCGCGAUAUGCCAAAUGCGGGGCCUCACGCAAAGUUCAUACCAGUGCGAAACCAAAACCACCGCGUCCUCGGGUGCCUUUGACUUCCUGUGCCUUGACGCAUGUGAAAAACAAAGUCGCACUGAAGGGGAACCAAAGAGCCCCAGCAUCCUUGGUGCCAUAUCACUUGAGGCUGGUGACUGAAAGGACAGAAGCUGCUUUACACGCCAAAGACUCUUCACUCUGUGUGCUUUAU
ensembl:lncRNA